rnacentral:rRNA from 1 species
CUNUGGCUUAACUGGGGGCUUGCGGUGGGUACGGNCCGGCUUGAGUGCGGUAGGGGAGACUGGAACUCCUGGUGUAGCGGUGGAAUGCGCAGAUAUCAGGAAGAACACCGGUGGCGAAGGCGGGUCUCUGGGCCGUUACUGACGCUGAGGAGCGAAAGCGUGGGGAGCGAACAGGAUUAGAUACCCUGGUAGUCCACGCCGUAAACGCUGGGCACUAGGUGUGGGGGGCCUUUUCCGGGUUUUCCGCGCCGUAGCUAACGCAUUAAGUGCCCCGCCUGGGGAGUACGGCCGCAAGGCUAAAACUCAAAGGAAUUGACGGGGGCCCGCACAAGCGGCGGAGCAUGCGGAUUAAUUCGAUGCAACGCGAAGAACCUUACCAAGGCUUGACACGUGCCGGUUUGCUCCGGAGACGGGGUUUCCUCCUUGUGGGGUCGGUUCACAGGUGGUGCAUGGUUGUCGUCAGCUCGUGUCGUGAGAUGUUGGGUUAAGUCCCGCAACGAGCGCAACCCUUGUCCCGUGUUGCCAGCACGUUGUGGUGGGGACUCGCGGGAGACUGCCGGGGUCAACUCGGAGGAAGGUGGGGAUGACGUCAAAUCAUCAUGCCCCUUAUGUCUUGGGCUUCACGCAUGCUACAAUGGCCGGUACAGAGGGCUGCGAUACCGUGAGGUGGAGCGAAUCCCUUAAAGCCGGUCUCAGUUCGGAUCGGUGUCUGCAACUCGACACCGUGAAGUUGGAGUCGCUAGUAAUCGCAGAUCAGCAACGCUGCGGUGAAUACGCUCUCGGGCCUUGUACACACCGCCCGUCACGUCAUGAAAGUCGGCAACACCCGAAGCCCGU